rnacentral:rRNA from 1 species
UACGUAGGUGGCGAGCGUUGUCCGGAUUUACUGGGCGUAAAGGGAGCGUAGGCGGACUUUUAAGUGAGAUGUGAAAUACCCGGGCUCAACUUGGGUGCUGCAUUUCAAACUGGAAGUCUAGAGUGCAGGAGAGGAGAAUGGAAUUCCUAGUGUAGCGGUGAAAUGCGUAGAGAUUGGGAAGAACACCAGUGGCGAAGGCGAUUCACUGGACUGUAACUGACGCUGAGGCUCGAAAGCGUGGGGAGCAAACAGGAUUAGAUACCCU